CCUGUCCGCGGGCGCGGAGGAGGGUAAUUGCUGGCCAGGGACUAAGAACAAUGGAAUGGAGGGUUCAGGCUAGCUUGCCUCCGCCCUCUGCUUGCUGAGGGCGGUCUGGCUUUCUUUGGGGCGGCUCCACCCUCGGACCUCUGCGCCCUACGAGGUGAAGUCAUCUCCCGGGGGUCCGGGAGUGGCCGCGGCCCUCGCGGAGUUCCCGGAUCUAGGCGCCGAGAUGUCCUUGUAUCUUUUCUGGGGACCAGGAAGAGGUUCUCGGGGAGAGUAGGGGAGAAGGAGGCCGCCAUCUUGCUUCUUGGGGGUAGCCCCUUCUCCCCAGGCUUAUUAGGGUAGAGGCUGCUGUGUUCUGUGGCCGGCAUUUUCCAGAGUGAAUCCAGGGACUUUCCUUGUCGCAGGCCGACUUCUAGGAGGUGGGUUAGUCAUCUCGGUGGCUGCCAUGGGCCUCAUAUUUAACUGCUGACCUCUAGAAAACUGACCUCCGCAAAGGGUCUGUGAUUCCUUUCAAACUGGGCUUGGGUCCUCUUCGACACUUUAAGUGUGGUGUCAGUAGUCUGUGAGAUACUCCUGUGGCUUCACGACAGCAACUUAGUAUCUUAAGUUAGAAGUUUCACCAAAUCGGUUGAAAUUUACGUUCUUCCACAGGUUCGAAAUAGAUCUUUAGCCCAACAGAUCUGUUGACUUUAUUUGUUCUCUUAUCCCUUCUCUUCCCCCUCCAAAUUUAGUAAUAACUACAUGCUUGGCAUUUACCCAUUCAAGGACUGCCUAGUUAAGUGGGCAUGACAGACAUGAAAGCAAAUAAUGAUGUUUGGAACUGUGGUAUAUCAAGGUAUAUAGAGGAGAGAACCUACUAACUCUAACUUAAGCUUUUAAAUAGGCUGUUUUCCAGCAUAAAUAGAGGAGAUGGCAAAUCUUAAUAAAAGACAUGCAGCACAGGGUCAAAUAAUUUAGGAGGCUGAGUGACAAGUCCCGAUGUUCAAGCCUGGGUCGCUGAAAAAGAAGCAGACAAGCCAAAUCAUGAAUCUUUUUUUUUUUUUUUUUUUUUUAAAUAUAUCCUUGUGACACAAUGGGGGAGGAAUGACCCUGGAAAGAUUUACAAUUUAAGUUAUUGUUUUAUUGGUGUAGGGUAAACAGAGAGUCUCUAGACCAGAAAAGAAAGAAUAGGGAUCCUGUGACUGGUGAUCAACAUCCAAAGGAGAUGGAGUCCUAAAAUAUGUAGGAGAUCAUAUCAGUUGAUUGCUGUGAGCAGCUAGAGGUUGAGAAUGGAAGUGGCAAGGAAAAUAACCUUGUUUUGCUCUCAUGGAAGGGCAGGAUAAUGGUGUAUUUCACCAAAUGAGAUAAGGAUGAGUUGCAGGGACACUUUUCUUUUUUUGCAUAAAAUGAAAAAUGAGUUCAGUUUUGGACUUUGUGAGUUUGAAGUAAGACUGGGGUUUUCUAGUGGUGGUUACUAUAUGGGUCUAGAGCUCUGGGGAGGAUGUUGGUUGAAGCUAGAAACACAACAGGCUUAUAUUACCACAUUCAAGCAGACUGCAGUCUCACUUCAUUGAGCACAGUUUCAAAACCAUUCCCCCCUUCCCUGUCUUGUCUUGGGAAAUUUUAUGAAAUACUCUAUUUAAAAAAAAAAAAAAAUCCCCAUGUGGUGAUACAUGUCCAUCUAAUGCUUAGACCAUUAAUCUGUGCUUAAUGGCCUAAGAACCAUAAAAGGUCAGGUGUACCAGAAACUGAAUAUGACAGUGCUAACUAGUAUAGCAUCAUAAACUCAUAAGGUGAGAUAUUGUCUAUGUUGAUGUUUUAAUAAAAACAUUUUAAAUCUACUGGGCACAAUGCUACUGGUCUGUAAUCCCAGUUGUUUGGGAGGCUGGGGAAGGAGGAUUGUAAAUUUGAAGCCAUCUUGGGCAACUUAGCAAGACCCCAUCUAAAAAUAAAAUAAAAAGGGCUGGGGAUAUAGCUCAAUGGUAGAGUGUUUAUGCAGGGCCCCUACAUUCAUCUCAAGUAUUUAAAUAAAUAAAUAAAUUUUAAAUAGUUGACAAUAGCUUAAACUAGCCUGCAGACCAAGGGUUGAGGAUGAUGGCUGCACCAAUAUCUGCUGAAGGAAGAACUAGAAGGAGGAUGACUUCAAGAGUGAGCAGUAGGAACACUAUGAAAGACAACCUCGAAUUUAUUAGUCUGUCUCAGCUGCUUCUUGGUUGUUCAUAGCUAUGCUAACCUAGCAUAAUGCAGUCAGAAAUAGAAUAGUUCAUUUUGAGUAGAGGCUUCAGAAAGCUACAAGUAACAAAGGCACUAUAAAUAAUAGCUAUAGCAGCAAACCAAAGACUAUUAGUUUUGAAUUCUAUAUUCCUGUAAAGCAGUAUUUUCCAACAUACCAAGUAAGAAAUCCAUUCAGUUACUUUUAGUUCUUAGAUUAUUUAAAUACAUUAUUCUCAAUUUUCCUAAAAGAAAAAUACAAUUAGGUAUAUUAAACAACUGUAUAGGGCUGGGGUUGUGGCUCAGUCAUAGAGUGCUUGUUUCACAUGUGUGAGACACUGGGUUUGAUUCUCAGCACCACAUAUAAAUUAAUGAAUAAAAUAAAGGUCCUCAACAACUAAAAAUAUAUAUUUAAAAAAACAACUAUAUAAUGGAUAAUAUACUGAACUAAAAAUGAGAACAAUUAAUUGAAUCCUUUUUUAUUAGUUGUUCACCUUAUGACCCUAACUAAAGCAUUUAACCUUUCUAUGCCCUAGUUUCUCUGACUACAAAAUAAAGAUAAUAACAACUUUCUACCAAUCUGCCUCUCAGAGAUAUAAGAAGUAACAAUGCUAUAAGAGUUCUUUGAGGUACUUAGAUGAAAGCAGAAGUAUAACUACAUGUUAACAAUUGGCACAAAUAACAAUAGAACUCAUGAACAUUUCUAAAUUUGCUGCCUAGGCAACUCCAAAGAACAUGAUAAAUCCGGAUUUAUAAUAGGCUUAGAAUUCUUGACUUGUGAAUUUACUUAUUAUUAUUUAUGAUCAAACCUUAGUAACACAUAUAUUUGCCAAAGCAAAAAACAGGAAUUUUUACUAACCACAGUUACUGUGUUCACUGCUACUCACAGCUAAUAUAUGCCUUGGGAAAAAACAUGGUAUGUAUGGUGGUUUUGUCAGAAUCAGGUUUCAGAGUUAAUGAUUAGUCUGUAACAUUACUCAUGCUUCUAUAGAAUAAAAUUGAAAUGCAGGUAUAUGUUUAUUUGAAACAUUGAGAUGAAUGUUCCUGUGAGCCUUUCAUCAUUUGCAUCACUGGCUGAUGAGAAAUACAUAGUGAAAUAUAUAGUCCUGUGUGAUGUUGUCCAGUGUCCAUCCUGAAAGUAGAUGACAUUUUCUUUUUCUUUUUCAGUAGAUUGGUGGCUUCAGGUUUUCUUUUUUGAAAGAUGUAUGUAUAUAUGUAUAUGUACAUAUACAUGUAUGUAUAUAUGUAUAUUUAUGUAUAUAAAUAUGUGUGCAUAUUUAUUUUUAUAUACAAGAUUACCAUAUGCCACUUCAUAAAAAUAUUAUAUGAAAGUACAUUACCUGUAAAUCUAGUAACAAUAACAAUAGCCUCAUAGAUCUAUUUCGGGCCAGAUAAGGUCCCCCAAAGUUGUUGGUUAAUAGUAAUUUGUCACCACUGAUGAAAAAAGUUAUAGUACAUGUUCAGUUAUUAGAAUUUUGAACACUAUCUGUAAGACCCAUGCUGCCUCAACUUUGUGUUAUUUAAUUUUGUUUUCACAACCGUUCCAUACUUUCACUCAUCUGUUAUUACCUCUUUACUAUUUUGUACUUUUUACCAUGGUCUUCAGAUAACAGUUCUACCAAAACAUACUUAUAAUAUGUGCAUUUCUGGCUAAUUAUUGUUGAUUACUUGUAUAAUCUCUAAAAUUCAGUCAAACAAUAUUUUGUAAUCUUAAAGUACAAUUCUUAUGUUUAAGGCUGUGGUUACCAGCCUUUGUUUUAUUUGUCUUUGUAUGUCUCAUGGUAUGAGACUGCGUACUCCAAAAAUAUUUUUAGGAAUGAAUAAAAAUUAUAUUGUGAUAUUUAGCUGAAUAAAAAAAUAAUAAAGCUAUAAAUCAUCUUAGACACUUUUAGGGGCAUGUAGGAGGAUAUGUGUAUGAAUUUUAUACACAUUCAUGUUUUGUUUUAUACUUUAAGUUGGUGGGACAAUUGAGAAAUGAAGGAAGGAGAAUUAAUUUUCUAUUUAUUGAAUAUUUACUGUAUUUCAGACACUGUACCAACCAUCUUACAAAAGAAUGAAUGACUAUUUAGGUCCCAUAAAUUUGGUUUGAAUCUUGAGAGUCACAGAAAAUAGUAUUAAUACUAAUAAGUAGGAUAUUUGAACAAAUCCUAUUACUUCUGUCUUUUUUAUACUUAUACUCUAUUUUAUUAUAAUAAUUGAAAAAUGUAAUCAAACAAUUUUUGAAAUAUACCUAUCUCUUCAUCCCUUAUUCUUUUUAUGUUACAAGGCUAUCAUUCAAUCUCUAUUUUGGAUCUUGACUCUUCUUGUCUAUUUGGGGUUCUUGCUACAUCAGUUAUUCUCUUUCUGCUGUCAGCUUCUCACUCUUCACUGGUUUCUUGCUAUUAGCAUUCUCUUAAGUUUAAUAAGAAUUUUAAAUGUUUAAAAUGUCUUCCUUAUGCAUAACCUCCCUCUAGCUUCUUUUCAAAUCCUCAUUCUUUGUUGUAAAAGAAACUUUCUGAGAGAAUUUUCUAUGCUUGCUAUUUCUACUUUAUCAAUUUUACUUUACUCUUAAACCUUUUAUAAUCAGGCUUUUACCCCAACACUGCUCUGAAACUAUACUUGGUAAAGUCACCAACAUCAUCCCUAUUGUAAGAUGCCUCUUAGUUCUUAAUGUCUUAACAGUAUUUGAAACUGCUUAUUGUUCUUUGCUUUUUUGAAACAAUCUCUUCUCUUGUUUUCUGUAAUACCAUACUUCACUGUUUAUUUUCUUUCACUGUCCUUUGAUGUUUCUGGUAAGCUUGAAACUCUCAUAUUGGAUUCCCUAUCUAAAAUUUCUUUUGUGUUUUAUAGGUGCUAAGCUCAAACUCAAUAUGUCUAAUUGAACUGAUAAUACCCAAGUGCCCAAAGCCAGAGAGUCUGUUUUCUUUGAAUUGUUCCUUUAUUCUGCAAUAUCCACUCAAUUAUCAUGCACUAUUAAAUUUUCCUCCUUAUUAUAGCUUAAAAUCAUCUAUCCCAUUCUAUUUCUACUGCCACUUCCUUAAUCCAAGCUGCUAUUACCUCCUUACUGUUAUUAAUAUAGAUUAGAUUCAAUGGGUUCAGUCUUUUCCUGCUCUAAAACCAACCUUAGUAGUACAACCAUUGUGGUUCAGAACACGGAUACUAUCAUUUAACUCCUCCACUUGUGUUCCUUUAAUACUUACAUUAAUCUCAGGAAAGCCUGGAAUUGUUUGUCCUCCUUUAUUCACCAGGGAGAGAAGAACUUCAUCUGUUUUGUGUACUGUUAUUCUCCUUAUAUUGAUUCAGUAUUGAUUAUUGGAUGAAUGAGCCUUGGGAAAAUAUUAUAAAGAAAAAUUCCCUCUCUCUUAAUUAAAAGUGCUGGGGAUUGAACCUAGGGCUUGAACAUGACAGCUAGAUGGUCUAUCAUUUAGCCACCCCCAACCCCUGAAUGUUAAACGUUUUUAGAGUAAAGAAGAUGGUCCUGCCACCUCAACACUGCUACAGUAGGGACUAAGCCUCCAACACAUGAACAAUUGGGGGACAAAUCACAUCCAAACCCGAGUCACUGGGAAUACAGG